rnacentral:rRNA from 1 species
AUUGAACGCUGGCGGCAUGCUUUACACAUGCAAGUCGAACGGUAACAGGCCGCAAGGUGCUGACGAGUGGCGAACGGGUGAGUAAUGCAUCGGAACGUGCCCAGUCGUGGGGGAUAACGCAGCGAAAGCUGUGCUAAUACCGCAUACGAUCUAUGGAUGAAAGCGGGGGACCGUAAGGCCUCGUGCGAUUGGAGCGGCCGAUGUCAGAUUAGGUAGUUGGUGGGGUAAAGGCUCACCAAGCCAACGAUCUGUAGCUGGUCUGAGAGGACGACCAGCCACACUGGGACUGGGACACGGCCCAGACUCCUACGGGAGGCAGCAGUGGGGAAUUUUGGACAAUGGGCGCAAGCCUGAUCCAGCAAUGCCGCGUGCAGGAAGAAGGCCUUCGGGUUGUAAACUGCUUUUGUACGGAACGAAACGGCGAGCUCUAAUACAGUUUGCUAAUGACGGUACCGUAAGAAUAAGCACCGGCUAACUACGUGCCAGCCGCCGCAGUAA